AAAAAGGGGAGCCAGGUUGGUUUAGGAGCCCCGCAGAGGAGCCGGAGCUUGGGUCGCAGUUGCCACCGCAUCUACUCCCGGUCUCUGGCCCCACCGCGGCAUGGCUUGCGGGGCGACGCUGAAGCGGCCCACGGAGUUCGAGGCGGCUCUACUGAGCCCCGGUUCCCCAGGGCGGCGGCGCUGCGCCCCGCUCCCCGGCCCCACUCCGGAUCUUAGGCCCCCGGACGCGCAGCCGCCACCGCCGCUGCAGACGCAGACCUCGCGGCCGACUCUGCAGCAGCCCGCGCCGCCCGGCAGCCAGCGGCGCCUUCCAACUCCCAAGCAAAUUUUUCAGAACAAGAAUAAAACAAGAAUAUAGUCGUUACCAGAGGUGGAGACAUUUAGAAGUUGUUCUUAAUCAGAAAAGUGAAGUCUGUGCUUUGGAAAGUCGACCUCACUCCUCGGCACUCAUGGCUGCUAGUUCUCCAGGGUCCUCCUGGACGAAGAAGGACCAGCCCACCUUCACCAUCAGACAAGUUGGAAUAUUUUGUGAGCGUCUCCUUAAGCACUAGGAGGACAAGAUCCGGGAGGAGUAUGAACAGGUCCUCAACACCAAACUAGCAGGACAAUAGGAAUCUUCUGUGAAAUUUACACAUGAUCGGAUUAUGCCACGGUAUGGGACAAGGCCAACAAGCUGUGUCCUGAAGCUUUGUGGCAUAUCUGGGUACCAGGUUUGACCUCAAGAGAUGGCUGCUGUACACUUCUUGCAACUGGUUUGAUAUCACAUUUCAGCUCCAACUUUGCAUCCUGAGAACAUAUAACGUUUCUGCAGGUCCAUUUUAUACAACUUGAAAGACCUUAAAACUUUCUGGUUGCCACAAGUAUAUCUUCCUUUUCUGCUCAUCCAAUGAACAGCUGUGCCCUACUGUGAUAGAUUUCCCAAACAAAAAUACCUGGAGCAGCAGUUUAGCAAAAUAUGCCUUUAGUGGCACGCACCAAAUGGAGUUUCCCCAAGCACAGUUCUGUAAGAACUGUGUGUGAAAGUGUGUGUAUAUGUGUGUAUGUGUAUUUUAAGUUAUUAUUUGCAUUGUGCAUUUUUUUUUUUUUGAUCUUGGGGAUUCUGGCUGUGAAUUUGAUGCACCACAAUUAUGGUUUAAAACAUUUGCUUGGUCUACAGAAGAUCAUUAAUGUUUUGUGACCAUAUAAGUUGUAACAGUGGAUUGUUUUAUGUGUAGGUAUUACUGUUAAAUACAGGGACUGUUUCCAGGCACAGAAUAUGAAUCAUAAGUUAGGAUGGACGUUAGAUGUGAUUAUGAGGAUACAGUGAAGGUCUGCGGUCCUAGAUCUACAAAUGUGUGGUGAGAAAUUAGAACAAACUGGAGACGGCCAUUGACACAUGGACUCUGCCUAGCUGUGUUAGAAAAAUACUUUGACUCCAGGCCUUAAGAUACCCACGUGGAGUCAGCACUCACCUCAUUUACACUGUCAAGAGCUCCCUGGACACUGAACCUCCAAAGGGAGGAGGUCUCCCCUGAAUCAGGAGCAUCAGGGUUUACUCUGGAGCCUAACAUAGGUGAGUGUGGGCCUGGGGCUGGGUCAGGCCCUGGCGGCACUGCUGCUUGGGAGGAGCCACUUCACCUUUGUAUCAGUUGUUAAAAAUAGGAUUUGGAUCCUUCGGUCAGGUUCCCCCCAAUUCUUUUGAUGUGCCCAUGUUAACUGCUUGAGAUUUGUUUUGGCAACAGCCUGCCUGAAGUUGCUUAUAGGCUGUUCUUCCAAAGUUCUUCACCUUGUUUCCAAGGCUGAGGAACAGAAAGUAGUCUCUGUUUUGAGGAGGUGGAAGUUAAGUAUACAUUUAUUUUUUUACUGUGACUUGUUCAGGACCACAUUUUACAAAAUGCCUUGUUUCCUUUAUUACUGUUUCUGGAAAGGAAAGUUCUGUUAAUAUUGUUUAGUUUGAAUAUAGAAUAGUUAUUUUAAUUAGGGCUUAUUUUGAAAAAUUUUGAGUUUAAUUCAAGUAUAUGCCAGUACUUUCUAAAGUAAGGUAAUAUUCAGAGACAGUUGUUCUGAUGAGAUGGCUUAGAGAAAUUUCUGGAAUAGUCACAUUCAAAGAUUCCUUAUUAAUGAAUGUCUUUGACUUAAAUCUAACCCAAAACUGCAACAUAAUUCUUUGUACAUUUUCAUUAUAUAGUGUUAACAAGCUUAGUAGCAAACAAAUAAAAUACUU